CGAGCACGCGCGUGUGGCAUAUCAAUAAGCGGAGGAAAAGAAACUAACAAGGAUUCCCUUAGUAACGGCGAGUGAAGCGGGAAGAGCUCAAAUUUGAAAUCUUCAAGGUUCUACCUUGACGAAUUGUAGUUUAUAGAAGUGUUUUCUGUUAGUGGAGUGGCAAAAGUUCUUUGGAAUAGGACAUCAUAGAGGGUGAGAAUCCCGUAUUUGGUCAUUCCUCCUAGCGUUGUGAUACACUUUCAACGAGUCGGAUUGUUUGGGAAUGCAGUCCAAAAUGGGUGGUAAAUUUCAUCUAAAGCUAAAUAUUGGCGAGAGACCGAUAGCGAACAAGUACCGUGAGGGAAAGAUGAAAAGAACUUUGAAAAGAGAGUUAAACAGUACGUGAAAUUGUCAAAAGGGAAGCGUUUGACACCAGUGUUGUUUUUCCGAAAAUCAAUUACGAAUGUUUUGUUUUUGAGGAGUUAUGACUUCAUCGGCUUGCUCCUUUCUUUAUGGAACUUUCUUAAUGCACUUUUCGGUUAACAAGUCAACAUCAAUUUCUUUUGUUGUAAAAGGGUAUGAGGAAGGUGGCUUUCUUUUCGGAGAAAGUGUUUAUAGCCUUGUGCCUCUACAAUCGGAGAGAUUGAGGUCUGCAGCGUAGAUCCUUCGGGGUUAGAUACAGUUUGUGCUAAGUUAUAGCUUUUCAUAGACAACUUGUUGACUAUGUUUAGUCUUGUAGCUUACUCGCUUAUGCUAUUUUACCUACGCUUAGGAUGUUGAGCGCAUGUCUCUCUCU
rnacentral:rRNA from 1 species